AACCUAUCAGGGCGCCGUGGGGAUUGUUGAUGAUGUUGGUCAUUCUAUGCUUUAACCGAUCGAACAAUAGCUAGUUUUAUAGUCCUAUAUAUAUUCUUAGGAACACGGGCGCCACGAAAGCAAAAACCACACAAUGGUACCCUGCGCAACGCGGAAACUUUAAGAAUGCAAAAACGUGUGCGCUUUAGCUAGAACGUGCGUCCGCGAAAAGGAGUUGUAAUGCAUUGUCCGCAUUAAGUCUAUAUAUGCGUCACUGUGUGGGACAAGGUUUACCGUUGUUGUUGGAUUCUUGUUGCUUUAGAAAACUCACUGGCGAUUCCAAAAUGGGUGGCACACCAAGGCGUCGCCUCGGAAGCUCUCCAAACCGCUGCAAAGGGAGAUGUGCCUCGAGAAAUUCACGAAAGCUCACAACACCAGAGGACGUCGCACGCAAGAGGUCAACUGAGCGUUGCGGACGGCCACUAUCGAUCCCCCGGUGCCAGUUCUCGGGAUCUCCAGUUCGUUCCGUUUCCAAAUUCACUGGGUUGGAACCAACACCGGAGUGAAGCGGCUCCCUUUUUCUACGGAACAGGAACCACAAACGGACAACCGGGACCCUCUUAUGUAGAUGCACCUCGAGAUCACCAAACGUUGCCUAAUUUCCCAUGGAAUAGACCGACACAGCAGUAUCCGGAUCUUGUGCCGUACGUGACUAAUCCGUCCUACGGGGUCGGGCUCAUUGUGCCAAACUACUGAACUGAAGAAACGUCAGUUAUUGUGAAUGUUUUCAUUUGAUGUCUUACUACAGCAGCGCUCUGCCGGUGACUUCUUGAACGUUCCCGCUUGUAUGUAGUGAGGCAGUUCAAUGAUAUACUGUUACCGGAGAUUUAUAAAGAGAGUGCAGGGCACAGGGACGAUAGUCAGUUUUUGGAAAGGGUUCUGGAGUUUGGUUUUCGCAAGGUCGUGUCUGGGCAGUUGAAGAAAUGGAAACAAAAUGACCUAGUGCAACGUGUAGUGUGGAAGAUCUGAAGGAGAC
rnacentral:lncRNA from 1 species